GCAUUUAUACACAAAGUAUGCCCGUGGACUUUGGUAUUAAUAAGUUUCAGCCAAUGAUGGCACAGCAAGAAACUGUACAGAUAGUUGCAUUGUACGAAUGCAAUCCUGUAUUAACGCAUUACUUCAGCAGAGUAUCAGAGAUGUCUCCUGACUUAAGUCAUGCACCAUUUCUCACUGUUAAAGCAGCCAACUCUCACAUUCUGUAUGUGCGGUAGUGGUGUUUUAUCACCACCUUUGUUCCACAAAUGAGGAAAAUAGAAAUGAAAGCAAAGUCCUUGUUGGAGGAACUCUAUCUCCUAGAAAGGCACUGAUUCAUUACCAAAAAAUAUAGCAUUACUAUGUUAAUGUUUUUCCUUAACUCAGAGUCUAAUUUUCAGUGCUUUGCUAUCGAUCAGUGGCUCAUUGUUGUGUAGGAUAUGUGUUAAAUGGGCUAUAAUUAUAUGGAUACCAGCAGCCAUCACUGAGCCAACAGGUUGCACUGAAUGUCAACUUGUGAUCUGCCGACUUCAGAGAGGUGAUGAUUCAGAGCUACCUGUGUAGACUUGCAGCUUCUUUGAUGGUUGAAGUAUUUCCAAAAUAAUUUUUUCUCAGCUGGAAGUAGAAACAGCUGCUGGAGAAAAUGGAAAAUAGCAGCCUAAAGAAAAAAGUAAAAAAGAAAUGCAUGUGACCUUCAAGAUGUACUGUACAAAAGAAGAGAGUACGUGCAGGGUACUAUAAAUGACCUAAGGCUCUUAGGAAUCUUGCUAAUAUUCCCACUUCUGAAAGCCCUUUCUUCUUUAGGAAUUUGAGAAGGGAAAGAUGGAG
rnacentral:lncRNA from 7 species